rnacentral:rRNA from 1 species
CAGCCGCGCGGUAAUACAGAGGGUGCGAGCGUUAAUCGGAUUUACUGGGCGUAAAGCGUGCGUAGGCGGCUUUUUAAGUCGGAUGUGAAAUCCCUGAGCUUAACUUAGGAAUUGCAUUCGAUACUGGGAAGCUAGAGUAUGGGAGAGGAUGGUAGAAUUCCAGGUGUAGCGGUGAAAUGCGUAGAGAUCUGGAGGAAUACCGAUGGCGAAGGCAGCCAUCUGGCCUAAUACUGACGCUGAGGUACGAAAGCAUGGGGAGCAAACAGGAUUAGAUACCCCGGUAGUCCCUGUCUCUUAUACA